GUAGGUGGCAAGCGUUGUCCGGAAUUAUUGGGCGUAAAGCGCGCGCAGGCGGGGUCCUUUAAGUCUGAUGUGAAAGCCCACGGGCUCAACCGUGGAGGGUCAUUGGAAACUGGGGGACUUGAGUACAGAAGAGGAAAGCGGAAUUCCAAGUGUAGCGGUGAAAUGCGUAGAGAUUUGGAGGAACACCAGUGGCGAAGGCGGCUUUCUGGUCUGUAACUGACGCUGAGGCGCGAAAGCGUGGGGAGCAAACAGGAUUAGAUACCUUGGUAGUCCACGCCGUAAACGAUGAGUGCUAAGUGUUAGGGGGUUUCCGCCCCUUAGUGCUGCAGCUAACGCAUUAAGCACUCCGCCUGGGGAGUACGGCCGCAAAGGCUG
rnacentral:rRNA from 1 species